rnacentral:rRNA from 1 species
AGCGAACGCUGGCGGCAGGCCUAACACAUGCAAGUCGAGCGGCCGUAGCAAUACGGCAGCGGCAGACGGGAGAGUAACACGUGGGAACGCGCCCUUCGGUUCGGAAUAACUCAGGGAAACUUGGGCUAAUACCGGAUACGCCCUUACGGGGAAAGAUUUAUUGCCGAAGGAACGGCCCGCGUCCGAUUAGCUUGUUGGUGAGGUAACGGCUCACCAAGGCAACGAUCGGUAGCUGGUCUGAGAGGAUGACCAGCCUCACUGGGACUGAGACACGGCCCAGACUCCUACGGGAGGCAGCAGUGGGGAAUAUUGGACAAUGGGCGCAAGCCUGAUCCAGCCAUGCCGCGUGGGUGAUGAAGGCCCUAGGGUUGUAAAGCCCUUUCGGCGGGGAAGAUAAUGACGGUACCCGCAGAAGAAGCCCCGGCUAACUUCGUGCCAGCCGCCGCGGUAACAC